GUGCCAGCAGCCGCGGUAAUACGUAGGGAGCAAGCGUUGUUCGGAUUUACUGGGCGUAAAGGGCGCGUAGGCGGCAUAUUAAGUCAUCUGUGAAAUCUCCGAGCUUAACUCGGAACUGUCAGGUGAUACUGAUGUGCUAGAGUGCGGAAGGGGCAAUCGGAAUUCUUGGUGUAGCGGUGAAAUGCGUAGAUAUCAAGAGGAACACCUGAGGUGAAGACGGGUUGCUGGGCCGACACUGACGCUGACAGCGCGAAAGCCAGGGGAGCAAACGGGAUUAGAAACCCGCGUAGUCC
rnacentral:rRNA from 1 species